GUGAAUCUGUGAACAUUCAUAAAUAUUGUUUUUUGAACAACAAAAAAAAACAAAAAAAAAAAGGAAGUGAACAUAAAUACACAUGGAUAACUUCGAUUCAUAGAAGAAUCUGAAACAUCCACUUCAAACAAUCUUUCGUUAUAACAAUGAGUAGUCGCGCGUACUAUGGUAGACUUACAUCGACCACAACCGCACGUGACAUCGAAGAUCAUCCUUACAUUUACACAAGCGUCAACACGGUGCUGUGGAUCCUGAUGCUGUUCCUCGUGGCCCUGCCUUUUGGCAUUGUAAGCUCACUGCUCGUGGUUGUCGUCCGGCCACUUACCGUGCUUUUCCCGGAAAGCGACAUCUUUGAGCUUGCCGACUUUCUGGAGCUGUGUCAGUUCAUGCCAGAAUUGUGCGUCAUCAAUUUGUUGGCUUCUGGUGAUUUUUUGAAAGCCAUAGAUGGCAGACGCACAAUACACAUCGGGACACCGGUUUGAACACUCCGUACGAUUUAAGAAAAUCAAUGGUACAUUUGAGUGGACAAUUGCACGCCAGUGAUAUAGAACACAGCCGUCUUAUUCUACAUCAGUAGUGGACAAUAGUAUGUCAGUGAAAUAGAACCCAGCCCCUCUUAUUCUACAUCAGUGGACAAUAGCACGCCAGUGAAAUAGAACAACAGCCUUUCAUCUAGAGGGGAAUAACAGCAUGGCGUUCAACCAGAAUACAAUUAUUUGGCUGUUGUUUCUUAUCUUCCUAGCUUGGCCAGUGGGUUACGUCUGUGCCAACCUGUAUGUUUUCAUCACUCCGAUGUAUGCAAUCUUUCCUGACAUGAAGUGUUUUAUAGACAUGCUGAAAGAUGGGAUGGCUUUGCCAUACAAGGCAGCCUGGAAUUCUGUCAAUGGGGUACCUUUAAGAAGUGAUAUGGUGCAAUAAGGCCCGGGAAACAUAAUAAAUAAAAGACCAUGAUUGAUACCAAAGAAAUGCUUUUCUUGCUAAGUUUACCAGGGUAUUUAGAAAGUUGAGGGAAUAUGUUUUUUUUUUAAAUGGUUGGGGAAAAAAAUGUCAAAAAAAAAGAAGAUAAGAAGUGAAACAUUAAAGUAAGACAUACCAGUGGAACAAUCUAAAACUAUGCUAUGAAUAACAAGUUGAGGGAAAAAUAAGUUGAAUGGAAGUAUUGCUUUAAUGAAUCAUGCAUCAAAAAUCAAAUAGAUUUCAAGUACAAAUAUGAAGGAAGAUAAUAAAGCUGAUGGUCUAUUGAUGUCAAUAUAGACUUAGCAUCAGCUGUUGAGAACUGAGAACCAUAAGUAAAACUACAAUCGUAAAAUAUUUAAAUGUAUAGGUAGAGUACAUAAAAGAUGCAAACUUGAAGAAUAAUGGAUAAAUAAUACAUGCUCUUACAGUCAUUCAUUUUAAAAAAAAACUUUUUGGAUUGAACUACAUUAAGAUUAAAAUGUCCAGUAGCAAUUCUGCUUUCAAUGUCCAGAAACAUAUAUCAAGAAUUUGUUUUAUAAUUUUUGGCAUCUUAUGACUUGCUGUCAUUGAACAUAUUGUAAAAUGGUGGUUUAAAAUGUUAAUGUAUUUUAUAUACUGGCAUGGGGCAUAACACAUACUAUACAAAUUUACGUCUCAAUAUAAAAUAGCUUUUAGCUGAACAAAACAAACACUUACUCAAGAUGUUGAAAUAAUGUACAUAAUUGAUGGUGGAAUAAUUUCUCUUACCACUGUAAUGAAAAAACAAACAUGUAGAUCUGGAGUGCACUGAGAACCAGGCAGUAAAACCUCAACUCUCAAGAUAAUCAGUCAGAUAUAAAAUGCACACAAAAAUGCUAUACAGGAAUUACCAAAUUUAACUGUCAACAAAGUUCUUUUCAAAAGUGUCCAAUAAUGAACAAGCUGCAAUCCAAGAAAUGAUUAGAAAAUUUAAAAAAAAUUAUGCAGAGAAGUUAGAUAAAAAUGUGCUAGAUUAUUUUUAUAGAUCCAGAUGAUGGAUGAAGUAUUUACAUAAAAUACUUCUUGAGACAUUAUAAAUCACAAAUAAAGCUGAAGGUAUUGAAAAUAUUACAGCUUAUUGAGAAAUAUAAUGUAUGUCAAAACAUGACAAGGUUUGUUCUCUAAUGAAAAGUGGUAUAUGUUGACAUAAUUCUAAAAAUAGAUAUCUACCAUUGACACAUGUCAAGAAUCAAUAUGAAAACACAAUCUUGUUUGUGGUGAUUAAAAUUGAAUACAAUGUUGAGUUGGCUUUAUUUUCUGAGCUAACUAAAUCUGUUAUGAAAAUGUUUUUUUAACAGUCGUUUUAAUUAUUGUACCUAAUUUACAACUAAAGAAAUAUAUUUAUACUAUAUUAUAAACAAGUACUAGCACAUGAAAUACCAAAUUAUUAUACAUAUACAAUAUAAAAACGAAAAACCCCAUCUUAAAAUUAUUAUGGCGAUUAUAAAAUGGUUAAAAGCCAAUUAGAAAUCUAUGAUGUAGUAAAAAAAAUAUUUGUACAUUGGAACAAAAAUCAUUUUUCAAUGAGUGGUAAUAGUACUACACAUAAAAAAAAGUAAAAAGUUAUUUAUUUAAGGUGAACAAGCAAAAAAAAAAAAAAAAAACUGCAACAAAUAA